CAUCGGUGUGUGAAUCUGUAGCUCUUUUCAACAAUUUCUUCACUAUUUGUACUUUAUUUUCCAGCAGACCAUUGGCUUGUGGGUAGGCAGGACUUGAAGUGUUGUGAUGGAAUCCAUAUUAGUUUGCAAACUCUUUAAACUCAAGAUGAUUGAAUUGGGGUCUGGUGUCUGUUCUCACAAUUUGUGGAAUUCCAUGUCUAGCAAAAAUUGAUUUGAUGCAAGUUAUGACAUGGCUUUCUGUUGUGUUUUUGAACGCAAUUUCAGGAUAGUGAGAAUAAUAAUCCAGCACUAAUUCAUGCAGGAAAAAAUUAUGUAUAAGUCAAUGCCCACUUAUAGCACGGAGUUACGGGCUCCUCAAUGACCAUCGUGGGCUAUUUUCUUUGCACUGAUCUGUACUUUAGGCACGUUGUACAAGCCUUCACAGCAUCUUCUAUGUCACUAUUUAUGUUGGGCUGAUAUAGAGCACCCCUUGCUUUCCUUUUGCAUUUUUUCAAUGCCUAGAUGACCCUUAUGUUUUUUGUUUAACAUGUCUUUCUUUAGCACUGCUGGAACAACGAGUCAUGAGCCUUUGAACAAAAUGUCAUCCAGUACUGACAGCUCUUCCUUGGACUGAGAAUACGGGCCAGCAUGCAAGACCUGCCUGCCCCCAGUAAUCAUGGACCAUCUUUGCACUGGACCCUCCCCAAGAUGCACAAGAAACAAAACAGCUCCAGGACCCUCCCCAGGAUGCACAAGCCUGAAACCAACCCAAGGAGGGACACACCUCCAACUCCUUCAGCCAAAGCCACCUUUCCACCCCCCAAAACGAUCAGCACACCUACAGGCAGUGUCAGUAUGAAACACAGAGGACCUGCCUGCCCGCAGUAACCAAAGUCCUCCACAAUCCAUCUUCUGCGCACUGGAGGCCCUAGCCACCGCGAAACACAAGCCCUUCUAGAACUAAAAGGGACAUAAGCAUCCACCUUGCCUUAGUACCACCAGCAACAGAUAUACCCUGUACAUAGCACAAAGGUCCUACCUGCCCCAAUAAACCAAGUACAACAAAGUCCAUCUUCUGAACACUGAUGUCUCCCCUUGACACACAAGCCCAAAACUAACCUCAGGAGGGACACACCUCCAACCCCUCAGCCAAAGCCUUCUGUGAAGCACCCCACAACCAUCUCACCUAGCCCUGCUCCAAGCUAGCAUAACACCUCGUCACCCCCACAAACCCAAAACCCUUUUCGAACUAAAGGGAUGUAAGCAUUCACCUGGCUGUAGUAGCACCAGGGACAGCUACCCCUAUACUUGACACAGAGGCCAUGCCUGCCGUAAUAAACCAAGUUCCACACAGUCCAUCUUCUGAACACUGACACUUCCCUUUGACACACAAGCCCGAAACCAUCCCUAGGCUGGACACAUCCAACCCCUCAGGCAAAACUUCUGUGAAGCACACCAAAACUGUGUGCACAUGUAGCCCCACUUGAAAGUAGCCUAACUCCAG